UCCUCGAUGGUCCAACGGCUAGGAUAGCUCGCUUUCACCGAGCCGGCCCGGGUUCGACUCCCGGUCGGGGAA